rnacentral:rRNA from 1 species
AGAGUUUGAUCAUGGCUCAGGAUGAACGCUGGCGGCGUGCUUAACACAUGCAAGUCGAACGGACGCUUUGGGAAACUGGAGCGUUAGUGGCAAACGGGUGAGUAACGCGUGGGUGACCUGCCUCAAAGUGGGGAACAACAGACCGAAAGGUUUGCUAAUACCGCAUACGCUCGGUGAUUCAAUUGACCGAGUAAAAGCGCAAGUUGCUUUGAGAGGGGCCCGCGUCCCAUCAGGUAGUUGGUGAGGUAAAAGCCCACCAAGCCGAUGACGGGUAGCUGUUCUGAGAGGAAGAUCAGCCACAAUGGAACUGAGAUACGGUCCAUACUCCUACGGGAGGCAGCAGUGAGGAAUAUUGCGCAAUGGAGGAAACUCUGACGCAGCGACGCCGCGUGGGUGAUGAAGGCCUUCGGGUCGUAAAACCCUUUUGGCAGGGACGAGUGAGGACGGUACCUGUUGAAUAAGUCUCGGCUAACUACGUGCCAGCAGCCGCGGUAAUACA